rnacentral:rRNA from 1 species
AAUGAACGUUGGCGGCGUGGAUUAGGCAUGCAAGUCGAGCGAGAACCCGCAAGGGGGACAGCGGCAAACGGGGUAGUAAUGUGUCGGAACGUGCCCUCUGGACGGGGAUAGCGGCGGGAAACUGCCGGUAAUACCCGAUGAACUCGAGAGAGCAAAGGUGUGAUUCCGCCGGAGGAGCGGCCGACAUGGUAUUAGCUAGUUGGCGGGGUAACGGCCCACCAAGGCUGUGAUGCCUAGGGGAUGUGAGAGCAUGAUCCCCACCAUUGGGACUGAGACACUGCCCAGACACCUACGGGUGGCUGCAGUCGAGAAUCUUCGUCAAUGGGCGAAAGCCUGAACGAGCGACGCCGCGUGUGGGAUGAAGGCCUUUGGGUUGUAAACCACUGUCGAGGGGGAUGAAGGCUUGAGGGUACUCCUUCAAGUUUGACAGAGCCCUGGAGGAAGCACGGGCUAAGUUCGUGCCAGCAGCCGCGGUAAGAC